UCCCCUCAGCUGCUCCAAGCAUUGCUCACUUCCUCUUUCGUUCCCACAGCCUGCCCGCCUCCUCCUGCUCCUGGUGCGGGGGGGAUGCUGGUUUUUCACCCAGCAGGCCCCUUGCUGGUCGUCGGAGGGGAUCCGAGGGGCAAGGACACGGUGCGAUGGGAGGGAGAGAGGGGUGUGGGGGUGGUCUGGGAUGUUACCCAUGUUCCGGGAUGCACUGGGGAUGUUCCCUGGGGAUUCCAGAGGAUACCCAGUAGGGGCUAUGGGGGGUACAGUGGAGUUUAUGGGACUAUGGGAGCUAAACAGUGGAUUGCUAUGGGGUGUGCAGUGCAGGUUAUCAGGGUCAUGGGAGAUACACAGUGCAGUGCCAUGGGGUGCACUAGAGGUUAUAGGAGAUACACGGAGGGAUGUGAUGGGGUGCACAAUAGGGUGUUAUGGGGCUGUGGGAGAUACACAGUGAGGUGCCAUGGGGUGCACUAGAGGUUAUAGGAGAUACACGUUGGGGUGUGAUGGGGUGCACAGUAGAUGUUAUGGGGCUGUAGGAGAUACACAGUGCAGUGCCAUGGGGUGCACAGUAGAUGUUAUGGGGCUGUAGGAGAUACACGGUGGGGUGCGAUGGGGUGCACACUAGAUGUUAUGGGGCUGUAGGAGAUACACGGUGGGGUGCGAUGGGGUGCACAGUAGGUGUUAUGGGGCUGUAGGAGAUACACAGUGGGGUGCGAUGGGGUGCACAGUAGAUGUUAUGGGGCUGUAGGAGAUACACAGUGGGGUGCGAUGGGGAGCACUAGAGGUUAUAGGAGAUACAUGGUGAGCGUGCGAUGGGGUGCACACUAGAUGUUAUGGGGCUGUAGGAGAUACACAGUGGGGUGCGAUGGGGUGCACACUAGAUGUUAUGGGGCUGUAGGAGAUACACAGUGGGGUGCGAUGGGGUGCACAGUAGAUGUUAUGGGGCUCUAGGAGAUACACAGUGGGGUGCGAUGGGGUGCACAGUAGGUGUUAUGGGGCUGUAGGAGAUACACGGUGGGG